rnacentral:tRNA from 1 species
GCGCCGGUGGUUUAAGGUGUAGCAUCGCGCCCGGAAAGCAGAGGGUACGGGUUCGAGUCCCGCCUGACGCA